rnacentral:rRNA from 1 species
GAGUUUGAUCGUGGCUCAGAUUGAACGCUGGCGGCAUGCCUUACACAUGCAAGUCGAACGGCAGCAUGAUCUAGCUUGCUAGAUUGAUGGCGAGUGGCGAACGGGUGAGUAAUACAUCGGAACGUGCCCUGUAGUGGGGGAUAACUAGUCGAAGGAUUAGCUAAUACCGCGUACGACCUGAGGGUGAAAGUGGGGGACCGCAAGGCCUCAUGCUAUAGGAGCGGCCGAUGUCUGAUUAGCUAGUUGGUGGGUAAAGGCCCACCAAGGCGACGAUCAGUAGCUGGUCUGAGAGGACGAUCAGCCACACUGGGACUGAGACACGGCCCAGACUCCUACGGGAGGCAGCAGUGGGGAAUUUUGGACAAUGGGCGAAAGCCUGAUCCAGCAAUGCCGCGUGUGUGAAGAAGGCCUCGGUU